rnacentral:rRNA from 1 species
CCUACGGGGGGCUGCAGUAGGGAAUAUUAGAAAUGGACGAAAGUCUGAUCUAGCAACACCGCGUGUGCGAAGAAGGCCUUCGGGUCGUAAAGCACUUUUUGGAAGGAAUAGGAAGGAAUGUACUUCCAGAAUAAGUCUCGGCUAACUACGUGCCAGCAGCCGCGGUAACACGUAGGAGGCAAACGUUAUCCGGAUUUACUGGGCGUAAAGCGCGUGUAGGUGGUACUGUAAGUAGGGCGUGAAAGCUCCUGGCUCAACUGGGAGAGGCCGUUCUAAACUACAGAACUAGAGGAUGGUAGAGGGAGGUGGAAUUCCAGGUGUAGCGGUGGAAUGCGCAGAUAUCUGGAGGAACACCGGUGGCGAAGGCGGCCUCCUGGACCAUUCCUGACACUCAGACGCGAAAGCUAGGGUAGCAAACGGGCUUAGAUACCCUAGUAGUC